AGAAAAGGAAAAAAUUAUAGUGUAGAAAUUUACUGAGCCACUAGGUCUUCACUCUUCUACUUUUUUGGGCUACUCCGCACUCUAACAAUUUUAGGGGAGGUAUUUUAGCUUUUUCUGUCUACAAACUCCCCAAGUAAUAAAUGAAAGAUAGGACAUUAUCACUCAAAAACUUGGGUACUUCCCUGUACAUCUUAUUUUAAAGCUAUUAAGAACAGAAAUGCUUUAUACUAUCCUUACAGUUGAUAAAAUCUUCUUUAUUUACUGUUAAUAAAGCUCUUCAAAAUUGUCAUUCUGUGUCUUACAUGGAAUAGAGGACAUUCAGCAUUUUUUGUGAAAUAACUUAGCAUUCAUUUGAAUUCAUCCCUUAGUUUUUUUUCUCUGGGUUAAAAACCCCCAAAUUAUUCUCAUCUUUAUUCAUGUUUUCUAUUAUUAAACAAUUAUUACUAUUUCUUUUUCUUUUUCUUAAAAUGUGAUGAUAAAUGUUAGAUGUUGGAUUCCAAAAGGGGACUGUCAAUGCCAAAAACAGGAAGAGAUUACUUUCUUGCACGUGCUUAUUAGAACAAGAAUGGGAAGAUUUUAGAACGUAUCCAAAUGGAAAAGAUGGAGAUUUUGGUGAGCCUCACAAUGAUAGAUAAGAAAACUGAUGCUUACAGAGAUUAGGUGACUUGCCCAAUAUGACUUUAAUUGAGUGUCAAAUCUAUAAAGAACUUCUUAAACUCAACACCCAAAGAACAAAUGAUCCAAUCAAGAAAUGGGCGGAAGACACGAACAGACAUUUUUCCAAAGAAGACGUCCAAAUGGCCAACAGACACAUGAAAAAGUGCUCAACAUCACUCGGCAUCAGGGAAAUCCAAAUCAAAACCUCAAUGAGAUAUCACCUCACACCAGUCAGAAUGGCUAAAAUUAACAAGUCAGGAAACAACAGAUGUUGGCAGGGAUGCAGAGAAAGGGGAACCCUCCCACACUGUUGGUGGGAAUGCAAGCUGGUGCAGCCACUCUGGAAAACAGUAUGGAGGUUCCUCAAAAAGUUGAAAAUAGAGCUACCAUAUGAUCCAGCAAUUGCA